UACGUAGGGCGCGAGCGUUGUCCGGAAUUAUUGGGCGUAAAGAGCUCGUAGGCGGCCUGUUGCGUCCGCUGUGAAAUCCCAGGGCUUAACCCUGGGCGUGCAGUGGGAUCGGGCAGGCUGGAGGCAGGCAGGGGAGAACGGGAAUUCCCGGUGUAGCGGUGAAUGCGCAGAUAUCAGGAGGAACACCGGUGCGAAGGCGGUUCUCUGGGCAUGAUCUGACGCUGAGGAGCGAAAGUGUGGGGAGCGA
rnacentral:rRNA from 1 species